rnacentral:rRNA from 1 species
ACGUACACUCCUACGGGAGGCAGCAGUGGGGAAUAUUGCACAAUGGGCGCAAGCCUGAUGCAGCCAUGCCGCGUGUAUGAAGAAGGCCUUCGGGUUGUAAAGUACUUUCAGCGGGGAGGAAGGCGAUAAGGUUAAUAACCUUGUCGAUUGACGUUACCCGCAGAAGAAGCACCGGCUAACUCCGUGCCAGCAGCCGCGGUAAUACGGAGGGUGCAAGCGUUAAUCGGAAUUACUGGGCGUAAAGCGCACGCAGGCGGUCUGACAAGUCGGAUGUGAAAUCCCCGGGCUCAACCUGGGAACUGCAUUCGAAACUGGCAGGCUAGAGUCUUGUAGAGGGGGGUAGAAUUCCAGGUGUAGCGGUGAAAUGCGUAGAGAUCUGGAGGAAUACCGGUGGCGAAGGCGGCCCCCUGGACAAAGACUGACGCUCAGGUGCGAAAGCGUGGGGAGCAAACAGGAUUAGAAACCCGGGUAGUCCC